rnacentral:rRNA from 1 species
AGAGUUUGAUCCUGGCUCAGGACGAACGCUGGCGGCGUGCCUAAUACAUGCAAGUAGAACGCUGAAGAGAGGAGCUUGCUCUUCUUGGAUGAGUUGCGAACGGGUGAGUAACGCGUAGGUAACCUGCCUUGUAGCGGGGGAUAACUAUUGGAAACGAUAGCUAAUACCGCAUAACAAUGGAUGACACAUGUCAUUUAUUUGAAAGGGGCAAUUGCUCCACUACAAGAUGGACCUGCGUUGUAUUAGCUAGUAGGUGAGGUAAUGGCUCACCUAGGCGACGAUACAUAGCCGACCUGAGAGGGUGAUCGGCCACACUGGGACUGAGACACGGCCCAGACUCCUACGGGAGGCAGCAGUAGGGAAUCUUCGGCAAUGGGGGCAACCCUGACCGAGCAACGCCGCGUGAGUGAAGAAGGUUUUCGGAUCGUAAAGCUCUGUUGUAAGUCAAGAACGAGUGUGAGAGUGGAAAGUUCACACUGUGACGGUAGCUUACCAGAAAGGGACGGCUAACUACGUGCCAGCAGCCGCGGUAAUACGUAGGUCCCGAGCGUUGUCCGGAUUUAUUGGGCGUAAAGCGAGCGCAGGCGGUUUGAUAAGUCUGAAGUUAAAGGCUGUGGCUCAACCAUAGUUCGCUUUGGAAACUGUCAAACUUGAGUGCAGAAGGGGAGAGUGGAAUUCCAUGUGUAGCGGUGAAAUGCGUAGAUAUAUGGAGGAACACCGGUGGCGAAAGCGGCUCUCUGGUCUGUAACUGACGCUGAGGCUCGAAAGCGUGGGGAGCGAACAGGAUUAGAUACCCUGGUAGUCCACGCCGUAAACGAUGAGUGCUAGGUGUUGGAUCCUUUCCGGGAUUCAGUGCCGCAGCUAACGCAUUAAGCACUCCGCCUGGGGAGUACGACCGCAAGGUUGAAACUCAAAGGAAUUGACGGGGGCCCGCAC